UGGUAAUAUUUGGUUACAGUAAGAUCUGUUGUUUCACAGGAAGUCCAGCAGAGGGGCCUGUAAUUUGAUUCAGUUAGUAACUUGGAAAACCAAGAGGGGAAGAAAGCCCAACAUUCUUAAGGUAAACUUUAACCAGAAUGCUAUUUUUUAAAUUUUAUUUUCAUUGAAAGCAAGU
rnacentral:lncRNA from 1 species